rnacentral:rRNA from 1 species
GAUGAACGCUAGCGGCAGGCCUAAUACAUGCAAGCCGAACGGCAAGUUUGAUAGCAAUAUUGGACCUAGAGUGGCGCAAGGGUGCGUAACACGUAUGCAACCUGCCCGCGACAGGAGGAUAGCUCCCCGAAAGGGGAAUUAACCCUCCAUAACAACAUGAAAAGGCAUGUGUUUAUGGUAAAAGCGAGGGGGCUCGCAGAUGGGCGUGCGGUUGAUUAGCGAGUUGGCGGGGUAAAGGCCCACCAAGGCGGUGAUCAAUAGGGGUUCUGAGAGGAAGGUCCCCCACACUGGCACUGAGAUACGGGCCAGACUCCUACGGGAGGCAGCAGUAGGGAAUAUUGGACAAUGGUUGCAAGACUGAUCCAGCCAUGCCGCGUGCAGGAAGAAGGCCUUCUGGGUCGUAAACUGCUUUUUCCUGUGGAUAAAAUACCCGGGCGCGGGGAAUUGAAGGUAACAGGGGAAUAAGCCACGGCUAACUACGUG